CUGCCUUAUUUCAUUUCAUUACCAUUAUAUUAGAGUAUAAAACCAUAACUACAAUGUUUUUGAAAUUAAAAGAGAAAAAUAUUCAAAUUAUUGGGUGCCAAAACGAUAACUAAAUUACAACUCAUGAAAUAUUCUAUUAGGACGUUUGUGUGCUCUCUUUGGUCCAACACUAGAUGCAGACUCAUGUUGAUCCAAGAUCUAUUGGGUUCAAGAUUUCCACGCAUUCACAUCGACGCAUUAUACACCUCGCUGCAUGACCAUCUUUACACACUACUUUUAUACAAUCAUAAUCUAUUUUACAUCCUUGACGCGCUGUAAUGAAAAAAGAGAAUAAAAGAAUGUAACUAAAAUGGAAUGAAGUAUUGUUUAGAAAAUAAAGAGAGAAAUUUGAAAAGGAUAAAAGUUGUGUUACCUUCGAUGUUUGUUGAGACAAGAAAUAGGUAAAGAAAGAUUAUCAUAACGUAAAUAAACUUGACAAUUUCAGCCAUCUUCCUUUCUAUGUAAACAAUUGUUUUUUUUUUACUUG
rnacentral:lncRNA from 1 species